AUUGAACGCUGGCGGCAGGCCUAACACAUGCAAGUCGAACGGUAGCACAGAGAGCUUGCUCUCGGGUGACGAGUGGCGGACGGGUGAGUAACGUCUGGGAAACUGCCCGAUGGAGGGGGAUAACUACUGGAAACGGUAGCUAAUACCGCAUCACGUCGCAAGACCAAAGUAGGGGACCUUCGGGCCUCACACCAUCGGAUGAGCCCAGAUGGGAUUAGCGAGUAGGUGGGGUAAUGGCACACCUAGGCGACGAUCCCUAGCUGGGCAGAGAGGAUGCCCAGCCACACUGGAACUGAGACACGGUCCAGAAUCCUACGGGAGGCAGCAGUGGGGAAUAUUGCACAAUGGGCGCAAGCCUGAUGCAGCCAUGCCGCGUGUAUGAAGAAGGCCUUCGGGUUGUAAAGUACUUUCAGCGGGGAGGAAGGCGGUGAAGUUAAUAACUUCACCGAUUGACGUUACCCGCAGAAGAAGCACCGGCUAACUCCGUGCCAGCCGCCGCCGUAA
rnacentral:rRNA from 1 species